rnacentral:lncRNA from 1 species
GCUCAGCCACCAUGCUGAAGUCCAUGUGUGCCGGGCAGAGGCUAGCGAGCGAGCCCCAGGACCCUGCGGCCGUGUCUCUGCCCACGUCGAGCGUGCCCGAGACCCGAGGGAGAAAUAAAGGCAGCGCUGCCCUCGGGGGAGCAUUGGCCCUGGCGGAACGCAGCAGCCGCGAGGGAUCCAGCCAGAGGAUGCCACGGCAGCCCAGCGCUACCAGGCUGCCCAAGGGGGGCGGGCCUGGGAAGAGCCCUAUGCAGGGCAGCACCUAGGAUGGCGCAGAGACUUGUCACAUCUUUGUCCCCAGCAAAGGCUACGUGUUACCUCCUUCAGUUGAUAAUAAACCUUUCUGAGAUGCAGAGGGUCCAGG